AGUGAACGCUGGCGGUAGGCCUAACACAUGCAAGUCGAACGGAAGCACAGUAAGAGCUUGCUCUUACGGGUGGCGAGUGGCGGACGGGUGAGGAAUACAUCGGAAUCUACUUUUUCGUGGGGGAUAACGUAGGGAAACUUACGCUAAUACCGCAUACGACCUACGGGUGAAAGCAGGGGAUCAUCGGACCUUGCGCGAUUGAAUGAGCCGAUGUCGGAUUAGCUAGUUGGCGGGGUAAAGGCCCACCAAGGCGACGAUCCGUAGCUGGUCUGAGAGGAUGAUCAGCCACACUGGAACUGAGACACGGUCCAGACUCCUACGGGAGGCAGCAGUGGGGAAUAUUGGACAAUGGGCGCAAGCCUGAUCCAGCCAUACCGCGUGGGUGAAGAAGGCCUUCGGGUUGUAAAGCCCUUUUGUUGGGAAAGAAAAGCAGCAGGUUAAUACCCCGCUGUUCUGACGGUACCCAAAGAAUAAGCACCGGCUAACUUCGUG
rnacentral:rRNA from 1 species